rnacentral:rRNA from 1 species
AUUGAACGCUGGCGGCAGGCUUAACACAUGCAAGUCGAGCGGUAACAGAGAGAAGCUUGCUUCUCUGCUGACGAGCGGCGGACGGGUGAGUAAUGCCUAGGAAUCUGCCUAGUAGUGGGGGAUAACUUGCCGAAAGGUAAGCUAAUACCGCAUACGUCCUACGGGAGAAAGGAGGGGACCUUCGGGCCUUUCGCUAUUAGAUGAGCCUAGGUCGGAUUAGUUAGUUGGUGAGGUAAUGGCUCAUCAAGACCGCGAUCCGUAACUGGUCUGAGAGGAUGAUCAGUCACACUGGAACUGAGACACGGUCCAGACUCCUACGGGAGGCAGCAGUGGGGAAUAUUGGACAAUGGGGGGAACCCUGAUCCAGCCAUGCCGCGUGUGUGAAGAAGGUCUUAGGAUUGUAAAGCACUUUAAGUUGGGAGGAAGAGCAGUUAACUAAUAUUUGACUGUUUUGACGUUACCGACAGAAUAAGCACCGGCUAACUUCGUG